rnacentral:piRNA from 1 species
UCACUUAAUGAUUCUUUACCUAUCCACCUA